UACGGGGGGGCAAGCGUUGUUCGGAAUUACUGGGCGUAAAGGGCUCGUAGGUGGCCAACUAAGUCAGACGUGAAAUCCCCGGGCUCAACCCGGGAACUGCGUCCGAUACUGGUUGGCUUGAAUCCGGGAGAGGGAUGCGGAAUUCCAGGUGUAGCGGUGGAAUGCGCAGAUAUCAGGAGGAACACCUAUAGCGAAGGCAGCUUGCUGGGACGUAACUGACGCUAAGGCGCGAAAGCGUGGGAGCGAACAGG
rnacentral:rRNA from 1 species